UAGAUACCCUGGUAGUCCACGCUGUAAACGAUGAGAACUUGACGUCGGGUCGCUUAGCGAUUCGGUGUCGAAGCUAACGCGCUAAGUUCUCCGCCUGGGGAGUACGGCCGCAAGGUUGAAACUCAAAGGAAUUGACGGGGGCCCGCACAAGCGGUGGAGUAUGUGGUUUAAUUCGAUGCAACGCGAAGAACCUUACCUGGUCUUGACAUGUCGAGAAGUCUGCAGAGAUGCGGAUGUGCCUUCGGGAACU
rnacentral:rRNA from 1 species